CCCCUCCCAGGAUCACCCCUGGAGCGUUUCCAGUACUCUAUCAGUCUCGACUGCAGGAGGGACAGUCAAGUAGAGGUAUACCCAUUCUAUUCCUAGCUUGGGCAGUGGCUAGCGAGUGGAAGGCAAUCUGCUAAAAGU